rnacentral:rRNA from 1 species
AUGGUAACUGGGUUCAUGAGUUAUGGUCAACAAACAAUACGUGGUACAAGGUACAUAGGGCAAAGUUUCAUAACUACCUUAUCCCACACAAAUCGUUUACCUAUACGAUUCACUACCAAGUAG